CACCAAAGCUGGAACAUAAAUGGGAACUGUAAAUAGUGAGGUUUACAUCAGCUGUAUGCUGCUUUAAAGCAUAGAAAAGUAAUCUGGAUACACACAAAGAUGUUCUUAAUUGGAAAAUCUGAUGAACUGGAUAAUUACAGAAAUCGAAAAGAUGUUUAUUUUUUGUUGAGAUAUGUGGUACGGUAAAAAUGAAAACAUUUACCUCUGAAAUGUAGUAAAGUAAUAAGUGCAAUAUAAAGAUGUAGUGGGGCAGAGAAGUAUGAAGCGUCAUUAAAUAAAAGCACUCAAUUACUCAACCCUGCUAGCAAUGAUCCUGUCGCACCGAUUGUGCAUCAAAUAGAAACCAAGAAUGGUCAAGUGUCGGAUUUAAACCUCGCGAUAUGAGCAACAAUAAGUCUCUGUAAUAAAGUGAAGACGGCGCAUCUUGUUUUGGUGUUUAAUAUGGACUUAUCAGUGAUAAGAGACGUGAUAAGUCGUUUUAUGGGUGAUCAAACAUCACUGCCGUCCCGCUCUUUUAAACCGCUGUUUAUAACAGCAGACGUGGACUUACAGCGUCAGUCUCUAUCACGUUGUGUCCUCGCUUUGUGAAUAUCCUGGAGGAAGGUAGAUUAUAAAAAGAAGUUGAUGCAUUUCCAUGGUGAGAUGGGAGAGUAGGAGCAGACACUUCACCUUGAUCUUCAUCUUCAGGGAGAUUUUGUCUAAUAAAACUGGAAACAAGUUGUGGGUUAAGUCUGUUACACCCUGGUCUCCAUCAUCCAUAUUUUUAAUACAAGAAGUCUUUUCAAUAGUGGCCUUGUCCAUUGAUGUACUGCCUUCGGUCUCUGAAUCAGCCAUUUUUGGUGGGUGUGCGGAGUGUGGCUCAGCCUCCGGCUCGAACGACCAUUUGUACUGGAUCUAGGGGUCGACUGGAGCCACAAACCGACUUGAAACGGGGUUUCAUGCACUUCGAUCUUUAUUCAGCCAUGCCAUUUAUUUUAGUUGUUCACGUAAUAUUUCCAUGGUCUAUACAAAAAGGAAAGAAAGGAGAUUACAAAAUUUGGGAUGACAAACAGAUCAAUUUAUAUACAAACUAAGUUACAUCAUAAUAUGGAUAAACGAAAUAAAGCUCUACUUACAUUGGCAUCAGUCCAACAGACACAUGGAAACACUCAUGUCAGGAAACAAACAGGAACUUGGCCUCAACAGGGCCUCUAGUUAUAGUGUGGGAGGUAGCUCACCACUUUGUGCCUCCUGUGGAAAGGAGAGCAAUUGCAUGCAGUUUCUAACAGUAGUAAAGUAAAAAGUGCAAUAUAAAGAUGUAGUGGAGCAGAAGUAUGAAGCGUCGUUAAAUAAAAGUACUCAAUUAUUCAACCCUGCUAGCAAUGAUCCUGUCUGACAGAUUGUUCAUCAAAUAGAAACUAAGAAUGGUCAAGUGUCUGAUUUAAACCGCGCGAUAUGAGCAGCAAUACGUCUUUGAAGUGAAGACGGCGCAUAUUGUUUUGUUAUUUAAUAUGGACUUAUCAGUGAUAAGAGACGUGAUAAGUCGUUUUAUGGGUUUGGGUGAUCGCGGUCAAACAUCACUGCCGCUACGCUCCUUUAAACCGCUGUUUAUAACAGCAGACGUGGACUUACAGCCUCAGUCUCUAUCACGUUGUGUCCUCGCUUUGUUCCUCAAGAAGAAUUCGGACACUGAAGAAGAAGAACCGCGUCUCUUUAUGUCUUUACAUGACUGAGGACGUUUAAGGGAGGAGAUGAUCUGCAGCAUCCUGGUGAUCUUCAUCCUGACCUCCUGUGUCUGUGGUCAGUUCACUUUUGGGUUUGUAAAGCAGCUGUGAAGCAUCAGCACACACUCCUCAGAAACAUCUGGAGAUGGAGUCUAGUUUGUCUGGACCCGGUGAACCCCGUCUCCGGAUAGCCCUAUUGUGCAGACGAACGCACUGUAUCCGCACACUGUAUCCGCACAAUUGUCUGUAGCACCUUAAAGCGCCACCAACAGGCGUGGGGGAUGUACUACAGCGGAGUCAAUCGGAUUCACUGGGUUCAUGUGCACGCGAUUUAAAAACAGGGACAUUUGUAGUGAAUGUGACACAGAGCUGGUAUCAGGCAGAGGAGAACCACAACAUCUCACUAGAAUGGAUGUUCCCCACCAGCACGGACCACUUCACCAACUCCCUUUAUAUCUCCUGUGAGAUGUUAACUGAUGACAAACCCUCAGUCCUGUUUCAUCUAUAUGAAGGUGUCGAGGUCCCAGAGUUUCAGGAUGAACGCUUUGAUAGCCUGACUUCCAUCAUCAGGUUAAUUUAUUUUGGCUAAUGGAACAUUUGAUGGACUUAGUUGAACCAUGUAUGAGGAACGGGGCGCAGAUUUCUAAUCAGCAACAGAUGAAACAUCAUCCACACCUUAUUCAUCUUUAAAUGUUUACACAAGAAGAGUCUGAGGUUCUGACAUCAAGGUCCGACUGCUGCUAAUUAGACCAAGUAUUGUUGUCCUCAAUAUACAUGUUGUCUAAAUGUUUAUUCUAUUCUUUGCACUUUGUUGCACUGGAGACAAACGUUUUUUUGACUGCUCUGUAUGUUUGGUACAUUGGAAUUUAUAUUAAAGCAAACUAUGAACUUUUGAAUAUAUGUUAA
ensembl:lncRNA